GCGUACCAGAAGACGAGCGUAGAGCACUCUAUAAGGAAGCCACCACACAAAUAAUUUAUUCCUCCUUGGCGUAAUUACACAUUUAAUCCCCAACACCGGGGAAGAAUAAAAUAUAUAUAAAAGGUUUGCAACCCGCGCACCCCACCAAAAUAAGGGAUUUGCUCUUCUUCGGCCGAAUUUUAAAAUUUAAAAUUAAAAUUGUUGGCCCCACUUUUAAAAAGCCCCACUUAAUAUUAAAUUAUCUCACAGAGGGCCCCUCUACCUUGUUUUAAUGAGAGGAAAGGCGUGUCCACCCGUCUCGCCCAAACCCCUCUUUAAUAGAAAAUUAGAGGGACGAGGAAGCACCCAAAUUCUUUUCUUUCCGAGGAGAGCCGUCUCUGGAGAAGACAGUAUGUAGGAGGAGCAGCCCGUUUCCUACUCCCACCAAUUCUAAGGGGUGUAAUAGUAAAAUUCAUAACCAAGCACGGACACCGGCCACUACCUUUCAUUAAUUCACCCCUUCCAAUUAACUGGCCGGGAAAAUUAAUUUCGGACGAAUUUAUUAACUUACUACGGUUCCAAAACUUCCCCUCCAGGCCCCAAUAAUCAUAAUGUGCCAUUAUCUUAAAUACAGCGCUCACAAAUUCAUACAAAAGGCGGCCUCUUCGCCCGCGCCGGGCCCGGCGCACCAAGCUGUACACCCCUCGUCGACCC
rnacentral:rRNA from 1 species